UGGGGAAUCUUGCACAAUGGGGGCAACCCUGAUGCAGCGACGCCGCGUGAGCGAUGAAGCCCUUCGGGGCGUAAAGCUCUUUCGACCGGAACGAUAAUGACGGUACCGGGAGAAGAAGCUGCGGCUAACUACGUGCCAGCAGCCGCGGUAAUACGUAGGCAGCAAGCGUUGUUCGGAGUUACUGGGCGUAAAGAGUGCGUAGGCGGUUUUCUAAGUUCGGUGUGAAAUCUCCCGGCUUAACUGGGAGGGUGCGCCGAAGACUGGGAAGCUGGAGUGGGGGAAAGGCAGGCGGAAUUCCUGGUGGAGCGGUGAAAUGCGUAGAUAUCAGGAGGAACCCCGGCGGUGUAGACGGCUUGCUAGACCAUAACUGACGCUGAGGCACGAAAGCGUGGGUAGCAAACA
rnacentral:rRNA from 1 species